AUACUUACCUGAUAGGAGAGAUACUGUGAUCAUUAAGACAGUAUUCUCAGGGCGAGGCCUACCCAUUGCACUUCAGGGGGGAAGGUUGACCCUUGCGAUUUUCCCCAGAUGUGGGAAACUCAACUGUACAAUUUGAGGAGUGC
ensembl:snRNA U1 U1 spliceosomal RNA